rnacentral:misc_RNA from 1 species
AAUCACAGGCGAUUCAGCAGGUGAUUUCACUGAAGGCGUUGUUUGAGACGACGCCGGAAUCCGACACCGGUCAGCGGAAAAAGCGUCACAUUCCUCGCCCGGACACUAGUUUACAGCGAGUCCAGAAAGAAACGAGUAUCGAUGCAGAAUUUGCUGAAUCGGCUGAAGAAACGGUGCCGUACGGUAGAAAACCUCCCAAUAAACCUGAUCUUUCCGGCGACAAAGCUGCAAGUGCUGUUGCCGUUGUCAAUAACUUAGCUCCUUCUAGAACCACAGAUUCAGGAAAUGCAUCAUCAGGUCAAUUGACAAUCUUCUAUUGUGGCAAGGUGAAUGUGUA